ensembl:lncRNA
UGAGGUCGGAUGAGAUGAAAGUGGACGUUUUUGGCUAGACAUUAAGAUGCAUGUGUGCUGUACCUCCACUUCUUUGCACUAUUGUUGUGUUACAAUUCACAGCUCCUGUAUAUAGGCAUUCCUCCUUGAAUAUACUUUUUUUAGACUUCUUAGACCGUUGCACUGUUUGUAUUGUUUUGUGUUGUGAUGUAUAUUCUGUGUAAGCACACUGAGAGCCACUUUACCAAGUCAAAUUCCUUGUUUGUGCAAACUUACUUGGCCAAUAAAACCUGAUUCUGAUCUGCAGUCACAGCCCCUCUCCAUCAGUGCUCUGUUCUUCCAAGCAUAAAAAUGAAGUUACACUGGUUUUCAGAAGGAAGUCAGGUCAAGCGUAAACAUGAAGUUACACUGGUUUUCAGAAGGAAGUCAGGUCAAGCGUAAACAUGAAGUUACACUGGUUUUCAGAAGGAAGUCAGGUCAAACCUGUGCAAAGGAAUAUUUGUUUUAUUUGUGAUCAAAUGGAGGCAAAUUAAAUGUACAAAAUUGAAAAAAAUAAAUGCUUUUAGACAGGUAGGUAGUCGUUGAACUUCAAUAUAUCCGUGUUAGUCUAGUCCUUGUUCUUAUUUAGAAUAAAGUGUUCCUUUACGCAGUGUUUUCAAUUAGUUCUGCUUUGUUCACUCUCUGAGCAUUUUCAACUACACUUACUUAUGAUUCACAAAUACUUAAUUACUAUUGCUUAAUUUGGCUCUACAUAACAGGACAUGUGUUGCAAGAAUAGGCUCUGUCUAGGACACCUUUAGUUUCCUGAUCUUGUCUUGUUACCAGAAUGCAGUAUGUAUGUGAACACGUAAGUGUAUGUGUGUGUCUAUCAGUCUGCAUGUGUGUGAAUUUGUAUGUGUGUGUGUGUUUGUGUUUCUCCCUCUGUGUAAGCAUGUGUGAGUGAUCUGUCUCUACUCGGAGCAGUCUUGAGACACAGGCUGAACUUUUGAACAUAGCUUGCUGAUGCCAUCACACAUGUUGUCUGCGAGCUUCACAAGUUGUCACAAGUUGAGAAUUCAACCUUUAAGUUACAACUGUCCCUGUGUUUUAACUGCACUGUAAAAUAUGAUAAUAUAAUACUUUAUUAUAUGCGAUAAUAUUUCGGCAAAUGUAUGAUCUUGCAUUGUUUAAAGGAAAUACACACAAAAUAAAUCAUAUAGAAAAAAAAUCGCUAAAAUAUGGUGUAAAAUAUAUUUGUCUGUGUAUACUGUACUUCUCUGGGCUCUACAUAACAGGACAUGCCUUUUGAAAGAAUGGGCUCUGUCUAGGACACACGUUUGCAGAAAAGGGGCCAACAGGAAAUAAUCCAGAGACAGAGUAGGACAAUAUCAGGAAACUAAAGGAUACAUCUAGUUCCUGUUUUGUGCAGCACAACUCAAGUCAAAAUUGUACGCAGCUACAGUCAUCACUCUCUCCACAGGCAACACACACUGCAACUGCGCCUGCAGCAAACCCAGCAGCGCUUUUUACAGCGGGCAGGGACGUAUCAAGAACGAACUGACGUGUAGGUACAGGCAUCCCAUGAAUACCAUCGGUGGGCACAUCUCCCAUCAGAGGGUCGAACUGCAUACAAUUGUCGCAUCUCUUUAUAGCUGUGAUAUGCCCAUUACUAGACUUGACAGUAGUUGUACGGAUAUUAGUUUCGGCCCGUGAGUACCCAGCUUCUCAAUGGCAUGAUGUUCAGCACAAGCAUUUAGAGCUCGAUUGCUUACUUUCGGCUCAAUAUCCAUAUUCAUCUCAUUUGCUGUUUUUUCAAGGAUUCCUGCCUUUCUUGGGAAUUCACCGACAUGUCCUUUCCUAGCAUUUGUUUUACUGGUGUAUCCACUAGCUUCACCUUUCGAGGCAUACUCAUUCAUUCUCAUCUCUUGUCUGCACCGUUUGUUUGUCCCGUAAGUUUCGUUUCCUGUUUCCAGGUUUUUGGCUUUCGUGCAAACGUGGUCAUCUCCAUUUACUUUCUUCAUUACUUUUUUUAACUUCUUGCCAGUGUCUACAACAUCCUUGGCGGCGUCUUUUCCAAUUUCAUUUUUCAACACUUUCCUUUGCUUUGAAGCUUUGUUCAACUCCUUGGUGCCCUUUGCCGCAGUAGCUCCGGUAAGAAAAUCUCCGGUAACAGAGUAUGCAACAUUUAUUGCUGAGUUGAGGAAACCGUGACCAUCUCUCUUUUUAUCAGAUUCAAUUGCCUGGUCGAUAGAUUCUACAAUUCCAUAAGGCUUACUUUCAAUUGCAGAUAUCGUUCCAUCGUACGCAACACCACCUGAUGCGCCUGCUAGUCCACCAAGAACGAAUCCUCCUCCAACUCCACCAGUUAGAGCUCCAGCUCCCACCACAACCAAUGUGCGACUGGCACCCUUCAUGCAAUCAUGACCAUGUUCCUUAUCCCCCAUUGCGUAGUGAACUACACCUUUUACGUGCCCAACAACUGGAGUGCUGUCAAUAACUUGCUCAGUUGAUUUACCCAUCUUCUUCAGGACUCUCUUCGCUUCAGCCUCGUCACCAGCAGCACUAUGAACAGCUGCACGAACUGGAGCAACAAUUAGACUUCUCUCGGAAUAUUCAACCCAAGAAUUCCCAGCAUCCUUUACAAACUUUUUGGCAGCAUCUUUAGCAUCCUGGUCGUCUAGUAUCUCUCCUGCAAGAGCGCAACCACCUGCUACAACUAUCUUCACACUGCUAUCAACAGCAGUGACGAUUUCUCCGACCACCGGAAUCGACUGUGCUGCACCCAUUCCUGUGAACACAGAAAAUAAUUAUAAAAUUAAUAUUUUCAGAAAAAUAUGAGACACACAUUGAAACAUAAAACAUGAAAAUCCCCAUACAAUAGUGGGUUUAGUUAUACCCAUAUUAUCUAACCUAAUGCACUAGUCAGUUGAAUCCACGACCACCGGGUGGGAAUCAAGGGAAGCAAGGGUUUCAUCAAGAAAGAAGGCAAGCUUUGAGACGUGCAGUGGGCAUGGAUUAAAACCGGAUCAGUAGUCAUACAAUUUUUUUUAGGAAAUAAAAGGCUCAAAUCAGAAUCAUGUUAAUAUGUUAUAUGUCAUGUUACUUUAAACCCGACCCAAAAAUAAUGCGCCCGUAUUGACCAGGGUUGUAACAGCAAUCAUUGCAAAGGGCUAAGCUGCCUUAAUCGGAUACAAACCCGUUGACCUGU